rnacentral:rRNA from 1 species
GUGGGGAAUAUUGGGCAAUGGGGGCAACCCUGACCCAGCGACGCCGCGUGGGUGAAGAAAUCCCUCGGGAUGUAAAGCCCUGUUGUAUGGGAAGAGCAGAAGACGGUACCAUACGAGGAAGCCCCGGCAAACUACGUGCCAGCAGCCGCGGUAAUACGUAGGGGGCAAGCGUUGUCCGGAAUUACUGGGCGUAAAGCGCACGCAGGCUGAAUUAUAAGUCGGUAGUCAAAUACGGAGGCUCAACUUCCGGAUAUCUAUCGAUACUGUAAAUCUAGAGUAUGUGAGAGGGAAGCGGAAUUCCCGGUGUGGCGGUGAAAUGCGUAGAUAUCGGGAGGAACACCAGUGGCGAAGGCGGCUUCCUGGCACAAUACUGACGCUCAUGUGCGAAAGCUAGGGCAGCGAACGGGAUUAGAAACCCCUGUAGUCC